CAGAGAUGAGCUCUCUUCACCUAGCCCUGCCCAACUGGCAGAUUUGUAAGCCAAAUAAACCCUGUCAUUGUUUUAAGCUACUAAGUGGUAGAAUAACGUUUAUGCAGCAGUAAAUAACCAGAACGCCAACUAGCUAAUCAGCCCUGGGAGUGUCAGCUCAGCAGAUUAACUGUGGUGGCUGGUUGCUCUGGCAACUGCCUCAGCCAUCACUUUGGCCAAGUCUCCUCCCUCCACAUAUGUGUUCUCAUCUAGAUCAGUUUCGAUUCCCGCUGGUGGAAAGCAGCCUCAGGCAGGGCCACUGCGCAGGAAGGGCGGGCCUGGGUGCAGGCGGGGCUCCGGGAGUCACCCCCAGACGCGCGGCUCCCCUUCCUUGUCCUCCGCAUGACGCCCGUGCCGGAGCCCACGUGAGCCUUUGCCAAGGAGAGAUUCAGAGAUAUGAGCAGAAAAACUGGAAGAUGGACUUCUUCAAUAAGGCAGCGGGACGGUUUGGCUGAUGGAAGAUGUUUCCCGGAAGCCUGUUCACGCUCCACCCUGAAAGUCCCAGGGCCGUGAGAGUCAGCCGGGCCGCCGAGGCGGUGCCCUCCAGGCUGCAGGAUGAUCCAGGGACUGUUUUCCUCAGCACUGUGUAGGUUUCAGCUUAUGAGUUCUGUCCAUGUUUUGUGAGAUUUAUAGCUAAGUAUUUACCUUUUCGAAUGAUUAUAAACAACAUAGUAGUUUUAAUUUUAGUGUCUACUUGUUUUUUGUUACUAUAUAGAAAUACAAUCGAUUUUCAUAUAUUUAUGUUGCAUCCUCUGUGCUUCUAAACUCACUAGUUUUGGAAGCUGUUUUUUGUUUUUAGAUUCCUUAAAAUUUUAUAUAUGGGCAAUCAUGUCAUUUAAUAAUCAACCUGUAUGCCUAAAAUAAUCAACCUGUAUGCCUAAAAUAAUCAACCUGUAUGCCUUUUAUUGUAAGAAAAUCCCUAAAUACUGGGAUUACAGGUGGUGAGCCACCGUGUCCAACCUGAAACUUUUUUUUUGGUGAUUUCAAAUGAACUUGACUUUUACUGUAAUUAUACCUAAAGUAUUUGUAAACAAUUGUUUAGAACUUCUAUUUGUCAUGGACUUUUGAGUUUAUUCUUUGGAUCAUAUAAAAAGACUUUUUUUUUUUGUUUUUAAAGUUAUAAAUCUCUGUAUGCACUUUGCUUUUCUUAAUUAAACAUAAUCCAAAGUAAGC
rnacentral:lncRNA from 10 species